UACGUAGGGUGCGAGCGUUAAUCGGAAUUACUGGGCGUAAAGCGUGCGCAGGCGGUUUUGUAAGACAGAUGUGAAAUGCCCGGGCUUAACCUGGGAACUGCAUUUGUGACUGCAAGGCUAGAGUGUGUCAGAGGGGGGUAGAAUUCCACGUGUAGCAGUGAAAUGCGUAGAUAUGUGGAGGAAUACCGAUGGCGAAGGCAGCCCCCUGGGAUAACACUGACGCUCAUGCACGAAAGCGUGGGGAGCAAACAGG
rnacentral:rRNA from 1 species